GGGUAGUCAGCUGCCUGCGCCAGCUUGGUUAGCAUUUGUGGUCUUCCAGUAGAAAGGGCCACUUCUGCAGUGUUCCAGCGGAACACAUCCUACGGAGCCUCUGCCAUACCCUCCUUAGCCAUUCCCCAGAAUCCCAGCAGCCCAGUGUUGGGAAACCAUCUUGGUUUUCUUUCACUUUCGUUUUUUCCUCCAUCUAUGCCAGUUUCUACAAUACUUAGAGACUGAAAGAAAGGACUCCAGAAAAAAAAAGACCAAGAUUUGUUUGACUUUGUGUUUAUUUUUAAUGUUCUUAUAUGUUUAUUUCAACAGCUCAAGGGUAAAAAGCCCCCCGUGGCGUCUAAUGGGGUCACAGGAAAAGGGAAGACUCUGAGCAGUCAGCCAAAAAAAGCGGAUCCCGCGGCUGUUGUGAAAAGGAUGGGUUCGAAUGCUGCCCAGUACAAGUAUGGCAAGAACCGGGUAGAAGCAGAUGCCAAGCGGCUACAGACCAAAGAGGAGGAGCUGCUGAAGAGGAAAGAGGCCCUGCGGAAUAGGCUGGCCCAGCUCCGCAAGGAAAGAAAAGACCUUCGAGCGGCUAUGGAAGUGAACGCCGGCAGGAAGCCGCAGGCGAUCCUGGAGGAGAAGCUGAAGCAGCUGGAGGAGGAGUGCCGGCAGAAGGAGGCGGAGCGAGUCAGCCUGGAGCUGGAGCUGACGGAGGUCAAGGAGAGCCUGAAGAAAGCGCUGGCGGGCGGAGUCACCCUGGGGCUGGCCAUCGAGCCCAAGUCAGGGACAUCGAGUCCACAGUCUCCAGUGUUCAGGCACCGGACCCUGGAAAACUCGCCCAUCUCCAGCUGUGACACCAGUGACACCGAGGGCCCCGUGCCGGUGAACAGCGCGGCCGUCUUGAAGAAGAGCCAGGCGGCCCCGGGCAGCUCCCCCUGCCGAGGGCAUGUGCUGCGGAAGGCCAAGGAAUGGGAAUUGAAGAACGGGACAUAGGGGACAGCAGCACCACUCCAGCUUCAGAGACUGCACACCCCCUUGCCCGUGUCCUCAUCUGUGUGACGGCAGGAAGCUCUACCCAGAGUGGCCUCAGCUGCACGACUCCAGAGGCUCCACGACUGAGCUCUGAGGCCAGUGCCUGUCCCCCAGGCCCACUUGUAUUCUUUCUACUGUAAAAUGGCGCCUUUAAAAAAGAUGUAAGACUUUGGUUCCCAACUUUGUUAAAAAACAAAAAAAGUGAUGGAAAGGUGUUUGAAACGAUGCUAUCAGGCGAAGUGACAUCUUUCUAACCAGAUAGGCCAUUGCUUUCACCGAUUCCAACCCAGCCUUGGACUGAGGAUGGAUGGUUCCAUGAGCCCCCAGAUGAAAACCUGGAUUCGACGGGGAAGAGCUUGGAUCCCUGGCUGCCCCAGGCAUGAGUGUGGCUGGCGCAUGGGCACUGGGCUCACCUUGCACGCCCACCAGGAGGGCCAGGGGCAUACGCAGUCCUGACGUGGACUUUGUGUCUUGGCAUACCCUCUCCACGUGCCCGUCCCCCUCG
rnacentral:sRNA from 1 species